CUAGGAGUGUAGAGGAAGAGUUUUGUUUUCCUCCCCUACUGGAGCAAGAGAAGUAUGAGUAGCUGAUACGCUGUGAGGUGGACCACUGUGAUUAUUUAAUCCAAUAACACAAAGAGCUUCUUUCAACUGAAUCUAACAUGGGCUGGCACUACAGGGCUCCCAGGAACCAGACUCUACUGCCUACAUAAAGCCCAUAUGCCAACAUGUUGCCUUCUUUCAGCAAAGAUGAUUGGUUCUCGGAAAUCAGGAAUGUCAGAGGGCUGGGAGCAAGUGACUGGGCUUGCUGCAUGGACACAGACGACACAAGCCUGGG